AUGUGAUCUAAAAUUAAGUGACACUAUUUAGAUUUUUAUUCAAACUUUCAAAUUCUUGCUUCCUUCAUUUAGAUUUGAAAACAUAAGAAACUAAAAUUUUGGUUGUCAUCUCGUGGGAAGAGUCUUGAUACAGUGUGUAAAAAAGGUAACAAAGAGACAAGGUCUUGCUGUGUUGCCCAGGCUGGAGUGCAUUGGCUGUUAACAGGCACAAUCAUGCCACACUGCAGCUUUCGAACUGUUGGGCACAAGUAAUCCUCCUGCCUCCACCUCCUAUUAACUGUACCAUUCAGUGGUUCCAGGCGCGGUGGUUCAUGCCUGUAAUCCCAGCACUUUGGGAGGCCAAGGCGGGC